rnacentral:rRNA from 1 species
GGCCGCGGGAAUUCGAUUCAGGCCUAACACAUGCAAGUCGAACGAGGAUAUACCAGAGGAGAGCUUCGGCAGGAAUCGGGUAUAUUCGAGUGGCGGACGGGUGAGUAACGCGUGAGCAACCUGUCCCAGACAGGGGGAUAACACUUGGAAACAGGUGCUAAUACCGCAUAAGACCACGGUAUCACAUGGUAGUGGGGUAAAAGGAGCAAUCCGGUUUGGGGUGGGCUCGCGUCCGAUUAGAUAGUUGGUGAGGUAACGGCCCACCAAGUCGACGAUCGGUAGCCGACCUGAGAGGGUGAUCGGCCACAUUGGAACUGAGAGACGGUCCAAACUCCUACGGGAGGCAGCAGUGGGGAAUAUU